rnacentral:rRNA from 1 species
GUGGGGAAUUUUGCGCAAUGGGGGAAACCCUGACGCAGCAACGCCGCGUGGAGGAUGAAGUCCCUUGGGACGUAAACUCCUUUCGAUCGGGACGAUAAUGACGGUACCGGAAGAAGAAGCCCCGGCUAACUUCGUGCCAGCAGCCGCGGUAAUACGAGGGGGGCAAGCGUUGUUCGGAAUUAUUGGGCGUAAAGGGCGCGUAGGCGGUGCGGUAAGAGUGUUGUGAAAUCUUCGGGCUCAACUCGAAGUCUGCAACGCUGACUGCCGUGCUUGAGUGUGGGAGAGGUGAGUGGAAUUCCUGGUGUAGCGGUGAAAUGCGUAGAUAUCAGGAGGAACACCUGUGGCGAAAGCGGCUCACUGGACCACAACUGACGCUGAUGCGCGAAAGCUAGGGGAGCAAACAGGAUUAGAUACCCUUGUAGUCC